GGAAUCGUAACAAGGUUUCCGUAGGUGAACCUGCGGAAGGAUCAUUAUUGUAUAACCGAGGUGCGAGGGCUGUCGCUGACCCGAAAGGUCGUGCACGCCCGAGUGCCCUCACACACAUCCAUCUCACCCCUAUGUGCACCACCGCGUGGGUCCCCCUUUGGCUUGUUCGGAGGGGGGCUUACGUUUUCACACAAACUUUGUAUGCAGUGUAGAAUGUAUUUUUUGUUUUUGCGAUCACGCAAUCAAUACAACUUUCAACAACGGAUCUCUUGGCUCUC
rnacentral:misc_RNA from 1 species